CCUCUCUGGGCUUUCUCUUCAGAGUGCCUUCCUGGGCUUUCUCUUCAGAGUACCUUCCUGGGCUUUCUCUUCAGAGUACCUUCCUGGGCGAAAGAUAAAUAUUCUCCACAAAACACAAAUGCCAUUAAAGGUUAUGGAAACAGUUAAAUUGGUAAUGUGCUACAUUUAACGUUGUUUUGAAAAUGCCACAAAAGGGUGUCAGAGUUUAUUAAGGGCAUCAGAGUUUAGGAGGUUCAGGGUGUCAGAGUUUAGGUGGUUCAGGGUGUCAGAGUUUAGGUGGUUAAGGGUAUCAGAGUUUAGGUGGUUCGGGGUAUCAGAGUUUAGGUGGUUGAGGGCAUCAGAGUUUAGGUGGUUAAGGGUAUCAGAGUUUAGGUGGUUCGGGGUAUCAGAGUUUAGGUGGUUAAGGGUGUCAGAGUUUAUUAAGGGUGUCAGAG
rnacentral:lncRNA from 1 species